AGUUUAGAGGUUGACUGAACAGAAGGUGUGUUCUGAUUCUUCACCACUGCUGUUCUGACACACUUUUCAGUGUUUUUACUUUCUAAAAGUUUGCGAAAAUACCAGAAUUUUAAAUGAUUUUCUUGGGAUCGCCAUGCUUCAUCAUGAAGUUUAUGAUCUUCAACACAGCAUAUAAUCUCAGGUGGUGUGACAGCGCCUUUUCCCAUCACACUGCUACACACUCCGCUGGGAACCGUGGCUGAAAUGAACACAAGAAAUUUCAGUCAUUGUUUCUAGUCGUGGGUGCAGCAGACAUUCGGCUUCAACAGCAAUUUCCCUUUGCGGAAAUAACGCCACACCAUCAUCAUGUCUUGUUUGUGAAAGGAUUAAAAGGCACCAUGUGUUGAUUAUGUAUUAUUGUUAUUGUUAUUAUGAUUAUUGUUAAAGUAUUAUUUUUAUUAUUCAAUUACAGCUACAUAUAUUGAAUAAAUUUUAAAAGCGAA